ACACGUGAUUCAGAGUUUGAUCCUGGCUCAGGAUUAACGCUGGCGGCGUGCAUAACACAUUCAAGUCGAACGGAGUAAGGGGCUUCGGUCCUUUACUUAGUGGCGGACGGGUGAGUAACGCGUGAGCAAUCUACCUUCGGGUGAGGGAUAACAACCGGAAACAGUUGCUAAUACCUCAUGACAUAUAGACUUCGCAUGGAGAUUAUAUCAAAGGCUUGCUGCCCGAAGACGAGCUUGCGUCUGAUUAGGUAGUUGGUGAGGUAACGGCCCACCAAGCCGACGAUCGGUAGCCGGACUGAGAGGUUGAACGGCCACAUUGGAACUGAGAUACGGUCCAG
rnacentral:rRNA from 1 species